UUUUUAUUUUUGCUAAAUGUCACACUAACUUAUUUUGCUAAGUUUUGUAAAUCCUUUAUAUCACUUAGUUACAUUUUAGGCCUACGGUUCAUAUUUUGUAAUAUCAGGUUCUAAAUCUUUAUAUUUUGUGUACCUAAAUAAUAUUUUUUCAUUUUUUUUUCACACUGCAGUUGAAGAGCAGGACUGAUUGGGAUCCAUGCAGAGAGAUGGUGUGAUGGAGUGAAUUCAUUCCACACUGGACAAGACUGGGUUAAUGCCACACGGUGGGCCAAGGAAGCCAGUCCCCCUCACCCCUGCUAGGCAUGCUCCAACUGGAAUAGCAGUAAAAAAGGGAGCAGCUCAGUCUGGGCUGACUGCCGAGGAGGGAGGAUGCACCUUGCAGGCUCCAGCCCAGGAGCUGGUGAUGCCCCAGACUGUGGAAGCCAGAGGCACUGAGAUCCCAAUGGAUGCUCAGGGCACUUUGAAAUGGCUUGUUUUCAUUCUCAGCUGGAAUGAAAACACAUGUUGAAAUGUCCGAAUAUCCCACAGAAUGGGAAUUCCAAGUUUUGAAUAUCUCUACAAAGGCUACCAAAUAGUGUGAUGGUUUUGUGACGUGUGGGAACUGUGAAUAAAGAUUGAUCAUGAACUCACCCAGCUGCACAUUGAACUCUAACUCUAAACCACUUUUGUUUUGUUUCCCAAAUAUCCACAAACAACUCUUGAUGUAUUUGUUACUCAGUAAAUAUUGUUAUAUUUAUGAAACGAUCAUAAGGACAAUUCU